GAAACCCGGUGAUCUAGCCAUGGGCAGGUUGAAGGUUGGGUAACACUAACUGGAGGACCGAACCGACUAAUGUUGAAAAAUUAGCGGAUGACUUGUGGCUGGGGGUGAAAGGCCAAUCAAACCGGGAGAUAGCUGGUUCUCCCCGAAAGCUAUUUAGGUAGCGCCUCGUGAAUUCAUCUCCGGGGGUAGAGCACUGUUUCGGCAAGGGGGUCAUCCCGACUUACCAACCCGAUGCAAACUGCGAAUACCGGAGAAUGUUAUCACGGGAGACACACGGCGGGUGCUAACGUCCGUCGUGAAGAGGGAAACAACCCAGACCGCCAGCUAAGGUCCCAAAGUCAUGGUUAAGUGGGAAACGAUGUGGGAAGGCCCAGACAGCCAGGAUGUUGGCUUAGAAGCAGCCAUCAUUUAAAGAAAGCGUAAUAGCUCACUGGUCGAGUCGGCCUGCGCGGAAGAUGUAACGGGGCUAAACCAUGCAC
rnacentral:rRNA from 2 species